UGUUCGACAACUUUGUUCGUGUUUUUCUGUCAUUCUCUUUCAUAUAAUUUUCUCAACUUCUUGUACGCAUCGUUUCCAAGCAAAUAAAUAUAUUUCAUCAACUAAUUUUUAUCGUUAUUCUCAAUUUUCUAGCACUUUUUAAUUAUAUUAUGCAUAUUUCUAUAUGUAUUUUCAAAUUACACACAAAAUUAAAUGAUUAAAAUCAAAUUUUCAAAUAUAUUGUAUACAUUAAUUUUAAAAUGUGCGCAAAUGCAACACUGUUACGUAGCAGCGAACUGUUACGAAUAAGAACACAAAGCGUGUUGCCUGAACACAGCAGACUCGGCGCGAUUCUCCUCUCCUCGUCGCCCCCUCUCAUAUAAAACUAAGAAUUGCCGCGGAAAAAAUUGCCCGUGUGAAAGGGGUCUACUGCAACCAUGAAAUAUGUCGCUGCCGUCUUCAAAAUGUUCAAGACGCUGGCUUCAAAGCGACAUUUGUGAUCAGCCGUCGCUACGUCGUGUCGUGUCGUCGUCUUUCUGUUCAGCACUUCUGAAUGAUAGAAAGAAACAACCAAAGUGCUCGUGUUUGAUCAAGUUUUGUUUUGAGCUAUAUCAUGGCUGCUUGUGAAUUAUUAUUGUUUGUGUUUUAUUUAAAUCAGUCAUCUGCAGCCCAAUUAAAGUUUAAAUUAUUGAAGCACGUAAUUAUUGAAAACGUAAAAUAAAAGUUUUCUGAAGCCAAAAUAUGGAAUUGAAGAGGGUGAUACAGUAAUACUUCGUUGCACUAUCAAUUCGAAGCACGCAAUAGAAGCCAAUAAUGGUCAGCAUCAAUGGCGAAACCAUUGAAUACAUAUUUUAAACCUCAUAUGGCGCGUUAAAGGUACGCACACUUAUUGGUGUCACUUAUUGUAGCAGCGUAGAACUUUCGAAGCGAUGGAAUAUGUGCUGCAAGUAAAUCCAAAACUAUGGACGCAAACGCUGCUACAUGGAACACAAAUCAUUCACACACCAGAUAUUACGUUUAAUGCCACUUUUUUGCGUGCAAUUAAACCUUUUGGUCAACACAAGUACGAGAAUUGGAACGACAUGGUUUAGGUGCUUUUGAAACCGUUUAUUAUCACGACGUGUGUCAACUGGGUUUUGCCAAUGAGCUAGAGGGCAAAGCAGUUUCAGUCUCUUUGAGAUUACCGGCACUUGGCCGUGCCAUUAGCAGCUAAAACACAGAAAUUAAAGGGAGGACUUUUUUGAUUCAUUUUCACCUUGUAUUGAGGAAUCAUAACGUUGUUGUAUCGCUUUACAAGGACAUAAAUUCACCGAAAUUAGUUCAAUGGAAAUACUACAGCAAGAGCAUGGAUGUUAAGACUUGAACGGUGCCGUGUUAGAUUUAGAAUUCCUGAAACAUAAGAAACCCUCCUCCCAGAUGAAUCCAGUACUAGUGAAAUUAAUGAAAGAACAGAUCUUAUAAAAACUCCGAAAGAAACCAAAAGAGUCCUCACAUAAUGUGCGCAGCUUACACUUCCAGACCGCACGGGGUAUUUGACAUUUUCCACUCUUCCUCCAGCCUUUGUCCGAUAGCAAAAAUUGUUCAAAUAUUCA